UCACUACAAAACCAGACUAUAAUAGGUUAUUCAUCUCCUUCUUCAUUACAUGCGAUGCGGCCGUUUCUUUCCCUUUCUCUUCUCCUCUAACCUUCUGCAACAGUGUUCGAUUGAGUGAGGAAGAAACAAUUUCGAGUGAGAUUGAUCAUCAACAGUGAGGUUUUUACUCACAUAGUUCGUGUUUAUGGUUUUGUUUCACUCUCAUGGUAUUUGAUGACUGAUACGGGUUGAAAACAGGUAACUGGUUGUUCAAAACCCUAGUUUUCUUUCAAGAGACCGUCAACAUAUUUACAAACAUAAUGAGAAACCAAUUGGCGCAAAUUUUGCAAUGUAAUCCUUCUUGAAGUUUAAGGCCGCAUGGCAACUUCAAUUCUCUUAAAUCCUGUGGUGUGUUUGAGUAAGUUGGGGACAAGGAGUUUGUGUUCGAGAUUCCAAGACUUUGGGGGGUGGAAAAUUAGUUGGAGAGAACAUUGCUUGUCGUUGUUCUGCUAUGUAGUUGGUUGACUGUAUGGAGAGAUUAAGCUCUACUACCUACCUGCAUAGCAUCAUCACCUGCCAAUUCACGUCUACAACAGUACCACCAGUAUUGUUAAGUGUUUGGUGUUUGCAUAUUUCUCCACCAUUUUGGCAGGUAACUUAAUUUCAUUUUUUUUCUUUAGCUUAAUGCUUGCAAGCCAUAUUGUUUCAAAAGAAUCCCAAGUACAGGACAUUUGUUCAGCAAAUGUUUGAGCCAAUAUGAGAAGUUGAGAAAGAAGCAAGCCUUUCUUGAAUUAUGCAAUUCCUAUGUUUGUGGUACGCCAAAUAUUCUCAAGUCUAGUUGUUAUUUCUUUGAAACCAUGAAUUCCUCUGUUCACUCUUCAGAAAUUGUCUUUGUGUUGUCAUACUACUGUAUGAUACGGAGUAGUUACAUGUUUAUUAGUCAAAUCCCGUAAUCAAUCACUUAAAUAGGUUCAGAAACGGAUCAGUAACAUUUCUACAAUCAAGACAAAACUGAUGAAUAUACAGGAACUGUUGUUGCUAUGGCGGGAGAAGGCAGAAUUAUGUUCAUCUGCUGCUGGUGCAACAUCAUCUUCACCUACAAAGACUUCAGCUUCAGCAUCACAGGCAACACCAUCAACUACAAGUUCAUCUAUGAGCGGUAGAGGAUCAUGAGGUUCAAGAUGUAGAGGUUGGAGGAAGGUCUGGUGGUGGGAUUGCAAGUGUAUAAGACAAUGUCACGGGCCAUUGCAGGUGUAUAAAAGAACAUGAAGAUGAUUGUCUUCAGGAUUGCAUAAAAGUUGCCAGGUCUGAUGGUUUAACUGCAGUUAAAUCUUUGAGUUAAAAGAGAGGGUAUUUUGGGGACAAGUAACACCGUUUUUUUCCCCAGCAGUUAUGUCGGACAGAACAUGACCAUUUUGUAAGCCAAUUACAAAAGUAUGACACUUUUGUAACCGAAUUAUAAAAAGUAGGACCAUUUUGUAAUCGGCCCUCUUUUUUUUGUUAUCUUAUCGGAAAAAUUCCAUUACAUGACAUAUCACAAUAACAAUGUUUUUCU